rnacentral:rRNA from 1 species
CACCUCUAGCAUUACCAGUAUUAGAGGCACUGCCUGCCCAGUGACAUUAGUUAAACGGCCGCGGUAUCCUGACCGUGCAAAGGUAGCAUAAUCAUUUGUUCCUUAAUUAGGGACUUGUAUGAAUGGCCCCACGAGGGUUUAACUGUCUCUUACUUUUAAUCAGUGAAAUUGACCUUCCCGUGAAGAGGCGGGAAUACAAAAAUAAGACGAGAAGACCCUAUGGAGCUUAAAUUAAUAUGUUCAACAGAAUUAAAUUAUAAUCCAACAGGAAUAAAAAUAUUCUAACUGGACAAUAAAUUUUGGUUGGGGUGACCUCGGAGUAUAACAUAACCUCCGAGCAAUUAAACCAAGACUUACCAGUCAAGGCCAUAUAACUUAUUGAUCCAAUCUUAUUGAUCAACGAAACAAGUUACCCUAGGGAUAACAGCGCAAUCCUAUUUAAGAGUUCAUAUCGACAAUAGGGUUUACGACCUCGAUGUUGGAUCAGGACACCCAAAUGGUGCAGCAGCUAUUAAAGGUUCGUUUGUUCAACG